AGAGAAGACGAGUUUGGUCGUCGUUCUUCAUUCUCAGUUUCAAAUUUCUGUCACGUGCGUCAUCCAUUAAUGAUCCUUCUGAUCUCUUCCCAGUCCCUCUCAGGCCGAGUCUCAGCCUAUGAUCCUAACAAUUUCUUUUCAAUUCUUUCCACUUCUUAUUUAUUUAGGAGCUUUUAAUUUAAUUAACUCCUCUGCAACCACUAUCCAAAGUCCAAGUACUGUACUGGUAAUCUGUAAUCUGAUACUCUGUUCAGAUUUCAGAAUCAUCUGAUACGAUGCGAGUCUUCAAACAGAAAAAAAAAUAAAUAAAUAAAAAAUUAUUCAGAAAUUUAUUAGGAUUUCUCUUUUCUCUCCACCGGGAAUAACCGGUCAUCAUUUGAUCUCGAAACCCUAUGAGCUAUUACUGCUCGUGUGUGUGUAUGAGAGAGAGAGAGAGAGAGAUUGACUGUGUGAGAGACAGACCCCUCUCUUCUCGGCUUGCUGGGCUACUUUAGUUCCUUAUUCUACGUCGAUUGCUGCUUGUAUUCCUUUGCUAACAUACGCCACUGCUAUUUUCAGCUUCUCCUAAGCUCUCCUCAUCAUAACUUUUUUUUAAUUUUUUUUUGCCCUUUCCUUUCAUCGUUGCCCUCUCACCACAUCUUCUACCUUUUUCUUAGCCUUCUUUACCUACCCUUUCUUAAAUCUUUCUUUCACUCUUCAUUCAAAACUCAAAAUCCUUUUCAAUCUCAUCUUUUCUCCUGAAAGCUUAGCUUAGCUUAGCUUAGCUCUAGCUCUUUGUCAUGGCGGAGGGUUUCGAGCCCUUUCAUGUACCGCAACAAAGUAGAAGAGAUAAGCUGAGAGUCCUCUCUCAAUCGCACCCCACUUGCGAUGAUGCCGCGGCUGCUCUACAAGGGUGUGUGGGUUUGCUUCCUAUGUACGAUCAUCACUCUCUCCUCUCCUCUGACAUGCUAAACUGCGGCAACCCACUUGGUGGAGCUGGGACUGGAGCUGGGACUGCAACUGUCGAGAUUUCUAAGCCAAACCCAGUUUGUAAUGUUAAGGCGGAAGGUGGGAAUUUAAUGGGCUACCUCGGGGGGUUCGUAAAUGCUUCUUCUUCGUCUUCUUCGUCUCAUCAGCCUUUCUUGGAUCCACAGUCUUCCCUCGCCUGCAACCCUUUUCUUUACACGGCCCAGAAUCUCAGAGAUCUUGAUCACUCCUUUAAUGGUGGUGAAGUGGUCCCCUUCAAGCCUACGCCCGUAUCGUUAACCCAUGCCCAUGAUUCGGUUUCCACUGGACAAGGUCUGUCGCUGUCCCUAUCAUCUCACCAUCCAGGACAGCAUAAUCUCCCUCUGGAGCUCAAUUUGCAGCAGUACGAGUCUGCGCAUGCGGUGUUCGAUGGAAAGUGUAUGGGAGGGUAUGUAGCUUCCACGUCCAACGAUGUGUCCAGGAGUCCUGUGCCUCUCGGCCCUUUUACGGGCUACGCUUCGGUUUUGAAAGGGUCGAGGUUUCUGAAGCCUGCGCAGCAGCUCAUGGAGGAGCUUUGUGAUGUGGGUAGAGGAGUUUUAAGUGAUAGAAGCUAUGGGGACUCCUCUUUGAUAGAUCCUUCUAUGGAAAACUUGGGUGGAGUUGGAGUUGUUGAUGAUUCACUAGCUUGUGGAGAUCCUACUCGUAGUGAGCACCAAAGGAAGAAGAACACUCUACUAUCAAUGCUGGAUGAGGUGUAUAAAAGAUACAAGAUGUACUACCAACAAAUGCAUGCUGUUGUUGCUUCAUUUGAGUCUGUUGCCGGGCUUGGCAAUGCAGCCCCUUAUGCAUCAUUUGCCCUCAAAACAAUGUCGAAACACUUCAGAUGCUUGAAGAAUGCCAUUACUGAUCAACUUCGAUUAAGCAAAACUCUUGGGGAGGGAAGCUUUGAAAAGGAUGGAGUUCCUAGGUUGGGGACUGCCGACCGAGGCCUUAAUAGCCAGAGACCUGUUCAUAACUUGAGCAUUCUUGAACAUCAACAUGUUUGGCGACCCCAGAGAGGACUUCCAGAACGUGCGGUAGCUGUUCUCAGGGCAUGGUUAUUUGACCACUUCCUUCACCCUUACCCUACUGAUACUGACAAGCAAAUGUUGGCUAAACAGACGGGUCUAUCAAGGAGUCAGGUCUCUAACUGGUUCAUCAAUGCUAGAGUAAGACUGUGGAAGCCAAUGGUAGAGGAAAUUCACAUGCUUGAAACACGGCAGGCUCAAAAAGCAUCAGAGACCGAGGACCAGAAUUCCAACAAGGCUGUUGAUCACCAACCACCUUCGUCAAACCCACUACCCUCCAACAAAACACUACAGACUACUGCAACCCAGAAUUCUCAAAACCCCCCAACAAAACGCAGUAGAAGUGAACUUCCCAUUGCACCCAACCAAAAUGAUCAGCUGAACAACUUUCAAUACCAUAAUCUAUCAAGCCAUCAUCACCAAGUAGGUGUGAGCAAUGCAGUGGGUAACAGCAGUGGCGGUGUUUCACUGACACUGGGCCUGCGCCAGAAUAAUGGAAUCGGCUUGUCUGAGCCUUUUCCAAUGAACAUAGCUCAUCGUUUUGGCCUUGAAGCAAACGAGGGAUGUGUAGUUGGUAGCUUUGAGGCCCCAAAUCGGCACUUUGGGAAGGACAUUGGGGGACAGUUUCUCCAUGACUUUGUUGGCUGAUGAACUUCAUUUUGAGGCUUGCGAUAUCUGAGGUUGUUUACUAAUGAUCAGUGGGGAAAGUUUGCCAAAUUCUAUAGAGAUCGAGCUCACAUAACGCAGGACAGACUAGAUGGGUCAAUUGGAGAUUGCCCUCUCUGGGUGUAACAAGAUAAGGAGAUCAAGAAAGAAGGAAAGCAGCAAAUAGAAUACGAGAGAGAGAGAGAGAGAGAGAGAGAGAAAAAAAGUUGUAACCACUGACUGAGAUUUCGAGAUUGAAUUACGAUGAGACGUUGGGGAGAUUGGAUGAAAGUAGAAGGAAAUGGAUUAUAUAUGGCCAGUCUCCCUGGCCCCACCUUGUACGUAAUUGGGUGAUUUGUUAACUCUUUAUGUAUUUUAUGUUUUCAGAAGCAAUUAUAGCAUAAUAAUAGCAAGGUAAAAUAAUUGUAACGAGGUAUACUAGAAAAUAUUUUUUUCACUCCUCACUUGGCUUCAAA